GGUCUGCCUAUGUCACAUCUAGAUGUGAGAUAAUACCUCACAUCUAAUGUGACAUCAUCCCGUAAUCCCCCACCCCUUCGUUGACAAAUCUUUCCAUCACUCAGCUUGUUAGUUUGUCUCUGCCUGUUUGUUUGUCUGUCACGGCCUGUCCCAGCCCACCCAGCCCGGGCACAUCCCUCCUCCCACCCGGGCAAUGUUGUUGGGCUUUUUCAUGGGCUGUUGUUUGUUUGUGAAAAAAAACUGCGCCUUGUUUGCCUGGGCCUUGUUGACAAAAUAAAAAAUAGCAAGUUUGUUAUUUUUCCCCCUAUGGGGAAAAUGCUAGUGGCAGAUUACCCCUGUGGAGAAAAUGCAGAUACUACAAAAAAAAAACUGAAGAAAAACCUGACAUAAUGUGACAUUCGAAAUACCAAUCCUUGAAAUACUGAUAACUCAAUAACAAAAAAUGAUAGGUGAUAAAAUAAAAUGCUAGGAGGAUUACGAUCUUACCUGCAUAGAAGAAUGAGGAUUGGCUCUGAGCAACUGAAAAUAACUGCGCCCGGAGACUGCGGCCUCCAGCCCCUGAGACUGAAAUUGAAACUGAUCAAACUUAAAUUGAAACUGUGAAAUCACGAGGAAACUGAAACUGAAUUACUGAAAACACUGGUACAUUAUUUUAGCCAAUUCAAAGAUGAAAUAGCUGAACAAAAAAGAAAACCGAACACUCAGGAAAAAAUAAAAUAAUGAAAGAUUGAACAAGAAUUAAGACUAAAUUGAGAUAAUGACAGAAGAUGACUGAUAACCGAACAUCAGACACUUGUUUAAACAAAUAAUUGUUCAACAGACAAAACAAAACAAACACAAGCACUGGAUCACAAAGUAGCGCAGAUCUUCGAACUAAAAAAGAGUAACAACUCUUCAGAUCUUGUUAAUGACCAUGAUCAUUUUGAACUCCUCGAUCGCUGCGCCUAAUGGUGAUCAGUACACCAUCGCCCACACUAAGGUUCUAUUCAAACAGAAACUCCUGCCACCCCUCCUUUUAAAAUUCAACUCAACCGUCCCGGCAAGUCUUGUACGCAACAGUGCUGAUGCUCCCUAUUCCUAGACGUAUAUGCCAGCAAUAUGAAGACUCGAAACCACCUUUAAAGGUAUUUUCUGAAGAGAAAAAAAAGAAAAAAAGUUAACCACUGUUAGACUUCGAAAAAAACAUGGCAUAUAAAAAAUACAUAAAAAGGACUAAAAGAUAAAAAAAGAAAAGAUGAACACUUACCAUCACAAACUUUUUUAUGUUUAUCUUGGUCAAGCAGUGAACAAACGGCACACCCAAGAACAUAUUAUCGACUGGAAGAAUGUCCAACAAGUUUACAAACUCAUCAUCGUCCAGCUUCAUGGACCGGUUGAUCACUGUGGACUCCCAGACUUCAUCGAACCUAGUGGAGGGGCUAAGAUCCACAUAUGCAAGAUACACCUUCACGACUGGUCCGUUCAGAUCAAAAUGGACAGGGAUCCCUCACUCAAAGACUUAUGCUCCAUGAAACUCUCCCAUCCAGAACCGCAUAUGCGGGUCAUUGUUUGCCCUUUCCUUAAACUUGCAACAAAAACUUCCCCACUCUUAGACUCAAAAGUCAAAGCUGUGUCUGUGAUGCUAUUGAACUCUGGCCUGACAUUGCAUGGAGCGAUCUGCACACAAAAAAUGAAGGAUAAUUUUAUUAGAAAAAUAAUAAGCACACACGAUCAGAGGAUUUAGUGAGUGCAAAAAAACACGAACGAAAACAGAGAGUUACCACUCAUCGCUAAGUCUCCAGCCAGCCAAAUACCAAAUGACCUGGCACUGACAUAGUGGUUGCGGCAGUCAUUGGACAAGCAGAUGUUGCACUCCAUUUGUAACAAAAACAAGCAUUUAUGAGAAAAAAAUAUCGCUUAAGAAACGAAAUAAUAGUGAACACUUAACUAAACUGGAAACAGACUAGGGGCAAGGAAGGUCUAGCCGUUGUGGGGGCAGGGGAAGCAGGCCUGGAAUCUUUGUUUUCCAUGGUGAAACUUCAUCGCAUCCCAGCUAUAUUGUUGCAUGGAAUAAAAAGCGAGAGUAGCAGCCAGUGGCAGAUGAAAAGACUACAAAUAGACUAUGUACUGAAUCACACUCAAAUUUAUUAAAGUGUUUCAGAUCACCUCCCCCCACGCAUGCAUGGGGGCUGUUAUUCUUUCAGGAAUGAAUAGUGUGGGACACAUACUGCAAAGCUAAAAAUGACACCUACUGAUAACUGAAGAAAAUGAGACCUAUUGGAACCUAAACCUGACACCGCUCCUUGAUGCCAGUAAAUAUCUAAAUUAACCUCGCGCAAUCAGUUUUCGGAAGAAAAAAAAAAGACCGCAACAACUUAGCAUGGCCGUGUGAAAACACACCACAAAAAAAAUGGAAGACUGGAGCUCUAGAUAAAAAAUGGACGACUGAAAGGAACCGACGAACAACUAAUACACACCAGAAAAUAAAAAAGAUUAGCAAAAGAUGGACCAUGUUACUGAUCAAAUAGAGCAAACAUCUUAAUAUGGUCAUGUAAAAACUGAGAAACUCAGGGCUUGCGUUAUUGCAUAUUUUUUUACCAAAAUUAUGAAAAGCAUCUAUAAUGUGGGUCAUUCCUGAAUCUCCAACUGGUUGAUGUCCAGAGUCGAAUCACAUGACAAGGAUAAACACGAGCAACAUCCUAGUCGUAAUAAAACAUGACCCCGGACUUGCAACUGGCCGUGACUACACAAACUAAAAAGGGAAAAGGGCCUGAGUUGCGAGUCAAAUGUUUGCUUGCAACUGGGCCCCACUCUCGAAUUGAAGAGUCCAUGGUCAACUUGAAACUAGGGUGCUUAUACAAACUAAAAAAACAUAAAUGGCCCCCCGAGUUGCGAUUCCGGGGUCAACUUGCAACUAGGGUGCCUAUACACACUAUAAAAAACAUAAAAAAAGGCCCUCGAGUUGCAAGUCUAGGGUCACUUGCAACUGGUCACAACUAUACAACUAUAAAGGGAAAGGGGCCUAGUUGCAAGUCGAAUGUUGAUUUGCAACUGGGCCCCACUCCCCGAGUUGCGAGUUCGGGGUCAACUUGAAACUAAGGUGCUUAUACAAACUACAAAAAACAUAAAUGUCCCCCCGAGUUGCGAGUCCGGGGUCAACUUGCAACUAGGGUGCCUAUACACACUACAAAAAACAUAAAAAUGGCCCUCAAGUUGCAAGUCUAAGGUCAACUUGCAACUUUUCACGACUAUACAACUAUAAAGGGAAAAGGGCACAGUUGCAAGUUGAAUGUUUGCAAGUGGGCCCUACCCCCCGAGUUACGAGUCCAGGGUCAACUUGCAACUAUGGUGCCUAUACAAACUACAAAAAACAUAAAAUGACCCCUGAGUUGUGAGUUCAGGGUCAACUUGCAACUGGUCUUGACUAUACAACUAUAAAGGGAGAAGAAUGGACUUGCAACUAGGGCAACUACUACUAAGAAGCCCCAGCUGCGAGUCGAUGGUGGACUUGAAAUUGGCUAUUACAACUACAAUAGCCCCAUUUGCCAGUCGAGGGUGAACAUGCAACCGGGACAAGCCUAGUUGCGAGUCGAGAGUGCACUUGCAAUUGGGACAACUACACUACAACAUAAGCCCAGCUGUGAGUAGACGGUGCACUUGCAACUAGUGCAACCCCUACAACUAGCAAAAAAAGCACCAGUUGCAAUUAGGGCAACUACACUACUACAAGCCCAGUUGCGACUUACAACUAGGCCACCCCUACAAAGGAAGCCCCAGUUGCAAGUCGAUGGUGGACUUGCAACUGGGGCAACUACUGCUACAAAGCCCUAGUUGUGAGUCAAUGGUGGACUUGCAACUUGGGCAAUUACAACUACAAAAAGGCCCCGGUUGCGAGUCGAGGGUGAACAUGCAACUGGGACAAUUACAACUACAAAGCCCUAGUUGCGAAUCAAUGGUGGACUUGCAACUGCAGCAAUUACAAAUAUAAAAAGGCCCAGUUGUGAGUCGAGGGUGAACAAAAAGGCCUCGGGUUGUAACCGGGGCAACCUACAAAUACAAAAAGGAGCUCCCGGUUGUGAGUCGAGGGUUAAGUUGCAACUGGGGGUCAACUACAACCAAGGAAAAACAAGCCCCUAGUUGCGAGUGUUGGGGAACAUAGUAAUUUCAAAAAAUUUCCUACGUACACGCAAGAUCAUGGUGAUGGCAUAGCAACGAGAGGGGAGAGUGUUGUCCACGUACCCUCGUAGACCGUAAGCGGAAGCGUUAUGACAACGCGGUUGAUGUAGUCGUACGUCUUCACGAUCCGACCGAUCCAAGUACCGAACGUACGGCACCUCCGAGUUCAGCACACGUUCAGCUCGAUGACGAUCCCCGGGCUCCGAUCCAGCAAAGCUUCGGGGAUGAGUUCCGUCAGCACGACAGCGUGGUGACGAUGAUGAUGCUCUACCGGCGCAGGGCUUCGCCUAAACUCCGCGACGAUAUGACCGAGGUGGAAUAUGGUGGAGGGGGGCACCGCACACGGCUAAGGAACGAUCCGUAGAUCAACUUGUGUUGUGCCUAGAGGUGCCCCCCUGCCCCCGUAUAUAAAGGAGCAAAGGGGGAGGGGGCGGCCGGCCUAGGAGGGGCGCGCCAAGGGGAGUCCUACUCCAACCGGGAGUAGGACUCCCUCCUUCCUUGUUGGAGUAGGAGAAGGGGGAAAGAGGGGGAGAGGAGGAAGGAAAAGGGGGCCGCACCCCUUGUCCAAUUCGGACCAGAGGGGGGCUGCGCGCCUCCUUCCUUUCGGCCUCUCUCCUCUAUUCCCGUAUGGCCCAAUAAGGCCCAUAUACUCCCCGGCGAAUUCCCGUAACUCUCCGGUACUCCGAAAAAUACCCGAAUCACUCGGAACCUUUCCGAAGUCCGAAUAUAGUCGUCCAAUAUAUCGAUCUUUACGUCUUGACCAUUUCGAGACUCCUCGUCAUGUCCCCGGUCUCAUCCGGGACUCCGAACUCCUUCGGUACAUCAAAACUCAUAAACUCAUAAUAUAACUGUCAUCGAAACCUUAAGCAUGCGGACCCUACGGGUUCGAGAACUAUGUAGACAUGACCUAGAACUAUUCUCGGUCAAUAACCAAUAGCGGAACCUGGAUGCCCAUAUUAGUUCCUACAUAUUCUACGAAGAUCUUUAUCGGUCAAACCGCAUAACAACAUACGUUGUUCCCUUUGUCAUCGGUAUGUUACUUGCCCGAGAUUUGAUCGUCGGUAUCCAAUACCUAGUUCAAUCUCGUUACCGGCAAGUCUCUUUACUCGUUACGUAAUGCAUCAUCCCGUAACCAACUCAUUGGUCACAUUGCUUGCAAGGCUUAUAGUGAUGUGCAUUACCGAGAGGGCCCAGAGAUACCUCUCCGACAAUCGGAGUGACAAAACCUAAUCUCGAAAACGCCAACUCAACAUGUACCUUCGGAGACACCUGUAGUACUCCUUUAUAAUCACCUAGUUACGUUGUGACGUUUGGUAGUACCCAAAGUGUUCCUCCGGUAAACGGGAGUUGCAUAAUCUCAUAGUUACAGGAACUUUUAUAAGUCAUGAAGAAAGCAAUAGCAACAUACUAAACGAUCAAGUGCUAGGCUAACGGAAUGGGUCAUGUCAAUCACAUUAUUCUCCUAAUGAUGUGAUCCCAUUAAUCAAAUGACAAAACAUGUCUAUGGUUAGGAAACAUAACCAUCUUUGAUUAAUGAGCUAGUCAAGUAGAGGCAUACUAGUGACUAUAUGUUUGUCUAUGUAUUCACACAUGUAUCAUGUUUCCGGUUAAUACAAUUCUAGCAUGAAUAAUAAACAUUUAUCAUGAAAUAAGGAAAUAAAUAAUAACUUUAUUAUUGCCUCUAGGGCAUAUUUCCUUCAGUCUCCCACUUGCACUAGAGUCAAUAAUCUAGUUCACAUCGCUAUGUGAUUUAACACCAAUAUUCACAUCUGCAUGUGAUUAAUACACAUAGGUCACAUCAUCAUGUGAUCAACACCCGAAGGGUUAACUAGAGUCAAUAAUCUAGUUCACAUCGCUAUGUGAUUAACACCCAAAAGAGUACUAAGUAUGAUCAUGUUUUGCUCGUGAGAGAAGCUUAGUCAACGGGUCUGUCAUAUUCAGAGCCGUAUGUAUUUCGCAAAUAUUCUAUGUCCACAAUGCUCUGCACGGAGCUACUCUAGCUAAUUGCUCCCACUUUCAAUAUGUAUCCAGAUUGAGACUUAGAGUCAUCUGGAUUGGUGUAAAAGCUUGCAUCGUUGUAACUUUAACGACGGGCUCUUUUAUCACCUCCAUAAUUGAGAAACAUCUCCUUAGUCCUCACUAAGGAUAUUCUUGACCCAUGUCCAGUGAUCUACUUAUUAGAUCAAAACUGUAUUCCUUUGCCAAACACAGAGCAAGGUAUACAAUAGGUCUGGUUCACAGCAUAGCAUACUUUAUAGAACCUAUGACUGAGGCAUAGGGAAUGACUUUUCAUUCUCUUUCUAUUUUCUGCAAUGGUCGGGUCUUGAGUCUUACUCAACUUCACACCUUGUAACACAGGAAAGAACUCCUUCUUUGGUUGUUCCAUUUUGAACUAUUUCAAAAAUUUAUCAAGGUAUGUACUCAUUGAAAAAUCUUAUCAAGCGUCUUGAUCUAUCUAUAUAGAUCUUGAUGCUCAAUGUGUAAGCAGCUUCACCGAGGUCUUGCUUUGAAAAACUCUUAUUCAAGUAUCCUUUCAUGCUAUCCAGAAUUUCCAUAUCAUUUCCAAUUAACAAUAUGUCAUCCACAUAUAAUACUAGAAAUGCUACAGAGCUCCCACUCACUUUCUUGUAAGUACAGACUUCUUCAAAAAGUUUGUAUAAAACCAUAUGCUUUGAUCAACUCAUCAAAGCAUAUAUUCCAACUCCGAGAUGCUUGCACCAGUCCAUAGAUGGAUCGCUAGAGCUUGCACAAUUUGUUAGCACCUUUAGGAUUGACAAAACCUUCUGGUUGCAUCAUAUACAACUCUUCUUUAAGAAAACCAUUAAGGAAUGCAGUUUUGUUUAUCCAUUUGCCAGAUUUCAUAAAAUGCGGCAAUUGCUAACAUGAUUCAGACAGACUUAAGCAUAGAUACGAGUGAAAAACUCUCAUUGUAGUCAACACCUUGAACUUGUCGAAAACCUUUUGCGACAAUUCUAGCUUUGUAGAUAGUAACACUAUCAGCGUCCGUCUUCCUCUUGAAGAUCCAUUUAAUCUCAAUGUCUCACCGAUCAUUGGGCAAGUCAAUCAAAGUCCAUACUUUGUUUUCAUACAUGGAUCUUAUCUCAGAUCUCAUGGCCUCAAGCCAUUUUGCGGAAUCUGGGCUCACCAUCGCUUCUUCAUAGUUCGUAGGUUCGUCAUGGUCUAGUAACAUAACUUCCAGAACAGGAUUACCGUACCACUCUGGUGCGGAUCUUACUCUAUAAGACCUACGAGAUUCUGUAGUAACUUAAUCUGAAGUUUCAUGAUCAUCAUCAUUAACUUCCUCACUAAUUGGUGUAGUAGUCACAGGAACAGAUUUCUGUGAUGAACUACUUUCAAAUGAGGGAGCAGGUACAGUUACCUCAUCAAGUUCUACUUUCCUCCCACUCACUUCUUUCAAGAGAAACUCCUUCUCUAGAAAGGAUCCAUUCUUAGCAACGAAUGUUUUGCCUUUGGAUCUGUGAUAGAAGGUGUACCCAACAGUUUCCUUUGGGUAUUCUAUGAAGACGCACUUCUCCGAUUUGGGUUUGAGAUUAUCAGGUUGAAAACCUUUUCCAUAUAAGCAUCGCAACUCCAAACUUUAAGAAAUGACAGCUUAGGUUUACUGCUAAACCAUAGUUCAUACGGUGUCGUCUCAACGGAUUUAGAUGGUGCCCUUUUUAAACGUGAAUGCAGCUGUCUCUAAUGCACAACCCCAAAACGAUAGUGGUAAAACCGAUAAGAGACAUCAUAGAUCGCACCAUAUCCAAUAAAGUGCGGUUACGACGUUCGGACACACCAUAACGUUGUGGUGUUCCAGGUGGCGUGAGCUGUGAAACUAUUCCACAUUGUUUUAAUUGAAGACCAAACUCGUAACUCAAAUAUUCGUCUCCGCGAUCAGAUCGUAGAAACUUUAUUUUCUUGUUACGAUGAUUUUUCCACUUCACUCUGAAAUUCUUUGAACUUUUCAAUUAUUUCAGACUUAUGUUUCAUCAAGUAGAUAUACCCAUAUCUGCUCAAAUCAUUUUGUGAAGGUCAGAAAAUAACGAUACUUGCCAUGAGCAUCAACACUCAUUGGAUCGCAUACAUCGGUAUGUAUUAUUUCCAAUAAGUCAGUAGCUUGUUCCAUUGUUCCGGAGAACGGAGUUUUAGUCAUCUUGCCCAAAAGGAACGGUUCGCAAGCAUCAAAUGAUUCAUAACCAAGUGAUUCCGAAAAUCCAUCUUUAUGGAGUUUCUUCAUGCGCUUUACACCGAUAUGACCCAAACGGCAGUGCCACAAAUAAGUUGCACUAUCAUUAUUAACUUUGCAUCUUUUGGCAUCAAUAUUAUGAAUAUGUGUAUCACUAUGAUCGAGAUCCAACAAACUAUUUUCAUUGGGUGUAUAACCAUCGAAGGUCUUAUUCAUGUAAACAGAAUAACAAUUAUUCUCUAACUUUAAAUGAAUAACCGUAUCGCAAUAAACACGAUCAAAUCAUGUUCAUGCUCAACGCAAAUGCCAAAUAACAUUUAUUUAGGUUUAACACUAAUCCCGAAAGUAUAGGGAGUGUGCGAUGAUGAUCAUAUCAAUCUUGGAACUACUUCCAACACUCAUCGUCACUUCCCCUUCAACUAGUCUCUGUUUAUUCUGUAACUCCUGUUUCAAGUUACUAAUCUUAGCAACCGAACAAGUAUCAAAUACUCAGGAGCUACUAUAAACACUAGUAAGGCACACAUCAAUAACCUGUAUAUAAAAUAUACCCUUGUUCACUUUGCCAUCCUUCUUAUCCACCAAAUAUUCAGGGCAUUUCCGCUUCCAGUGACCAUUUCCUUUGCAGUGUAAGCACUCAGUUUCAGGCUUUGGUUCAGCUUUGGGCUUCUUCGUGGGAGUGACAACUUGCUUGUCAUUCUACUUGAAGUUCCCUUUCUUUCCCUUUGCCCUUUUCUUGAAACUAUUGGUCUUGUCAAUCAUCAACACUUGAUGCUCUUUCUUGAUUUCUACCUUCAUCGAUUUCAACAUCACGAAGAGCUCGGGAAUUGUUUUCGUCAUCCCUUGCAUACUAUAGUUCAUCACGAAGUUCUAGUAACUUAGUGAUGGUGACUAGAGAAUUCUGUCAAUCACUAUCUUAUCUGGAAGAUUAACUCCCACUUGAUUCAAGUGAUUGAAGUACCCAGACAAUCUGAGCACAUGCUCACUAGUUGAGCGAUUCUCCUCCAUCUUUUAGCUAUAGAACUUGUUGGAGACUUCAUAUCUCUCAACUCGGGUAUUUGCUUGAAAUAUUAACUUCAACUCCUGGAACAUCUCAUAUGGUCCAUGACGUUCAAAACGUCUUUGAAGUCCCGAUUCUAAGCCGUUAAGCAUGGUGCACAAAACUAUCAAGUAGUCAUCAUAUUGAGCUAGCCAAACAUUCAUAAUGUCUGCAUCUGCUCCUGCAAUAGGUCUGUCACCUAGCGGUACAUUAAGGACAUAAUUCUUCUGUGCAGCAAUGAGGAUAAACCUCAGAUCACGGAUCCAAUCCCCAUCAUUGCUACUAACAUCUUUCAACACAAUUUUCUCCAGGAACAUAUCAAAAUAAACAUAUGAAAGCAACAACGCAAGCUAUUGAUCUACAACAUAAUUUGCAAAAUACUACCAGGACUAAGUUCAUGAUAAAUUAAAGUUCAAUUAAUCAUAUUACUUAAGAACUCCCACUUAGACAGACAUCUCUCUAGUCAUCUAAGUGAUCACAUGAUCCAAAUCAACUAAACCAUGUCCGAUCAUCACGUGAGAUGGAGUAGUUUUCAAUGGUGAACAUCACUAUGUUGAUCAUAUCUACUAUAUGAUUCACGCUCGACCUUUCGGUCUCCGUGUUCCGAGGCCAUAUCUGUAUAUGCUAGGCUUGUCAAGUUUAACCCGACUAUUCCGCGUGUGCAACUGUUUUGCACCCGUUGUAUUUGAACGUAGAGCCUAUCACACCCGAUCAUCACGUGGUGUCUCAGCACAAAGAACUUUCACAACAGUGCAUACUCAGGGAGAACACUUCUUGAUAAUUAGUGAGAGAUCAUCUUAAAAUGCUACCGUCAAACAAAACAGAAUAAGAUGUAUAACAGAUAAACAUCAUAUGCAAUCAAAAUAUGUGACAUGAUAUGGCCAUGAUCAUCUUGCGCCUUUGAUCUCCAUCUCCAAAGUGAUGUCAUGAUCUCUAUCGUUACCGGCACGACACCAUGAUCUUCAUCAUCUUGAUCUAUAUCAAUGUGUCGUCACAUGGUCGUCUCGCCAACUAUUGCUCUUGCAACUAUUGCUAUCGCAUAGUAAUAAAGUAAAGCAAUUAUUUGGCACUUACAUCUUAUGCAACAAAGAGACAACCAUAGGGCUUCUGCCAGUUGCCGAUAACUUCAACAAAACAUGAUCAUCUCAUACAACAACUUAUAUUUCAUCACGUCUUGACCAUAUCACAUCACAACAUGCCCUGCAAAAACAAGUUAGACGUCCUCUACUUUGUUGUUGCAAAUUUUACGUGGCUGCUACGGGCUGAGCAAGAACCGUUCUUACCUACGCAUCAAAACCACAACGAUAGUUCGUCAAGUUAGUGUUGUUUUAACCUUCGCAAGGACCGGGCGUAGCCACACUCGGUUCAACUAAAGUUGGAGAAACAGACACCCGCUAGUCACCUGUGUGCAAAGCACGUCGGUAAAACCAGUCUCGCGUAAGCGUACGCGUAAUAUCGGUUCGGGCCGCUUUAUCCAACAAUACCGCCGAACCAAAGUAUGACAUACUGGUAAGCAGUAUGACUUGUAUCGCCCACAACUCACUUGUGUUCUACUCGUGCAUAUAACAUCAACGCAUAAAACCUAGGCUCGGAUGCCACUGUUGGGGAACGUAGUAAUUUCAAAAAAAAUUCCUACGUACACGCCAGAUCAUGGUGAUGGCAUAGCAACGAGAGGGGAGAGUGUUGUCCACGUACCCUCGUAGACCGUAAGCGGAAGCGUUAUGACAACGCGGUUGAUGUAGUCGUACGUCUUCACGAUCCGACCGAUCCAAGUACCGAACGUACGUCACCUCCGAGUUCAGCACACGUUCAGCUCGAUGACGAUCCCCGGGCUCCGAUCCAGCAAAGCUUUGGGGAUGAGUUCCGUCAGCACGACAGCGUGGUGACGAUGAUGAUGCUCUACCGGCGCAGGGCUUCGCCUAAACUCCGCGACGAUAUGACCGAGGUGGAAUAUGGUGGAGGGGGGCACCGCACACGGCUAAGGAACGAUCCGUAGAUCAACUUGUCUUGUGCCUAGAGGUGCCCCCCUGCCUCCGUAUAUAAAGGAGCAAAGGGGAGGGGGCGGCCGGCCUAGGAGGGGCGCGCCAAGGGGAGUCCUACUCCCACCGGGAGUAGGACUCCCUCCUUCCUUGUUGGAGUAGGAGAAGGGGGAAAGAGGGGGAGAGGAGGAAGGAAAAGGGGGCCGCACCCCUUGUCCAAUUCAGACCAGAGGGGGGCUGCGCGCCUCCUUCCUUUCGGCCUCUCUCCUCUAUUCCCAUAUGGCCCAAUAAGGCCCAUAUACUCCCCGGCGAAUUCCCGUAACUCUCCGGUACUCCGAAAAAUACCCGAAUCACUCGGAACCUUUCCGAAGUCCGAAUAUAGUCGUCCAAUAUAUCGAUCUUUACGUCUCGACCAUUUCGAGACUCCUCGUCAUGUCCCCGGUUUCAUCCGGGACUCCGAACUCCUUCGGUACAUCAAAACUCAUAAACUCAUAAUAUAACUGUCAUCGAAACCUUAAGCGUGCAGACCCUACGGGUUCGAGAACUAUGUAGACAUGACCUAGAACUAUUCUCGGUCAAUAACCAAUAGCGGAACCUGGAUGCCCAUAUUGGUUCCUACAUAUUCUACGAAGAUCUUUAUCGGUCAAACCGCAUAACAACAUACGUUGUUCCCUUUGUCAUCGGUAUGUUACUUGCCCGAGAUUUGAUCGUCGGUAUCCAAUACCUAGUUCAAUCUCGUUACCGGCAAGUCUCUUUACUCAUUACGUAAUGCAUCAUCCCGUAACCAACUCAUUGGUCACAUUGCUUGCAAGGCUUAUAGUGAUGUGCAUUACCGAGAGGGCCCAGAGAUACCUCUCCGAUAAUCGGAGUGACAAAACCUAAUCUCGAAAAUGCCAACUCAACAUGUACCUUCGGAGACACCUGUAGUACUCCUUUAUAAUCACCCAGUUACGUUGUGACGUUUGGUAGUACCCAAAGUGUUCCUCCAGUAAACGGGAGUUGCAUAAUCUCAUAGUUACAGGAACAUGUAUAAGUCAUGAAGAAAGCAAUAGCAACAUACUAAACGAUCAAGUGCUAGGCUAAUGAAAUGGGUCAUGUCAAUCACAUUGUUCUCCUAAUGAUGUGAUCCCAUUAAUCAAAUGACAACACAUGUCUAUGGUUAGGAAACAUAACCAUCUUUGAUUAAUGAGCUAGUCAAGUAGAGGCAUACUAGUGACUAUAUGUUUGUCUAUGUAUUCACACAUGUAUCAUGUUUCCGGUUAAUACAAUUCUAGCAUGAAUAAUAAACAUUUACCAUGAAAUAAGGAAAUAAAUAAUAACUUUAUUAUUUCCUCUAGGGCAUAUUUCCUUCAGCGAGUCAAUGGUUGACUUGCAACUAAGGGCCUCGAGUUGCGAGUCAGGGUCCGACUUGCAACUGGGUCAGACACAACUACGAAAAACCAAACCCCCAGUUGCGAGUUGAGCGUUGACUCGUAACUAGGAGGGGCCAAGUAGCGAGUUAGGGGUCAACUUACAACUGGGCAAUCUACAACCACAAAAAAGGAGCCCUCAGUUGCGAGUUAGCGGUUGAUUUGCGACUAGGGCCUCGAGUUGCGAGUUAGGAUAGACUUGCAACUGGGGCAAACUUACAAGUACAAAAAGCAGCCCAGUUGCGAGUCAACGAUAGACUUGAAACUGGGGCCUUGGAUUGCAAGUCAAGGUUUGACUUGCAACUGGGUCAACUACAAACUACAAAAAGCAAGCCUCCGGUUGUGAGUCGAGGGUUGACUUGCAACUAGGGCCUCGGGUUGCAAGUCAAGGUUUGACUUGCAUCUGGGUCAAUUAGAAACUACAAAAAAACAAGCUCCCAGUUGUGAGCCAAGGGUUGACUUGCAACUGGGGCCUCGGGUUGGUUUGACUUGUAACUAGGGCCUCGGGUUGCAAGUCGAGGUUUGACUUGCAAUUGGAGCCUCGGGUUGCAAGUCGAGACUUGACUUGUAACUGGGGCAACUACAAAUUACGAAAACAAGCCCCCAGUUGCAAGUCUAUGGUCGAGUUGCAACUAGGGCAACCUAUAGCUACAAAAAAGUAAUCCUCCAGUUGCGAGUCGAGGGUUGAUUUGCAACUAGGGGGCCUCGAGUUGCAAAUCACGGGUCGGGUUGUAAUUGGGGCAACCUAAAUGUACGAAAAGGAGCUCCCAAUUGCGAGUCACGGGUUGAUUUGCAACUGGGGUCAACUACAACCAAGGAAAAACAAGUCCCCUGUUGCUAGUCGAUGGUUGACUUACAACUGAGGGCCUCGAGUUGUGAGUCAGUGUCCGACUUGUAACUUGGUCAACUACAAUUACGAAAAACAAGCCCACAAUUGCGAGUCGAGGGUUGACUUACAACUAGGGGGCCCAAAUUGCGAGUUAGGGGUCGACUUGCAACAGGGCAACCUAGAACUACAAAAAAAGCAGCUCUCAGUUGGGAGUCAGGGGUUGACUUGCAACUAGGGCCUCAAGUUACGAGUUAGGGUCGACUUGCAACUGGGCCGAACCAAUAAGUACAAAACAAAAAGCCCCCAACUGCGAGUCGAGGGUUGACUUGCAACUAGGGCCACGGGUUGCAAGUCGAGGCUUGACUUGUAACUAGAUCGACUACAAAUUAUGCAAAAACAAGCCCCCAGUUGUGAUUCGAUGGUUGAUUUGCAACCGGGGCCUUGGUUUGCAAAGUCGGUGCUUGACUUGCAACUAGGAAAAUUAUAAAAACUAUGAAACGUUGCGAAUUGAGGAUUGACUUGCAACUAGGGUGCCCCAAUAGUUGUGAGUUAGGGGUCGACUUGCAAGUGGAGCAACCUACAACUACAAAAAAGAAGGCCCCUAGUUGCGAGUCGAGGGUUCACUUGCAACUGUGGCCUCGAGUUGUAAGUCGAGGGUCAACUUGCAACUUGGGGCAAACUACUUUGAACAAAAAAGUGAAGAACAUUAAUACAUAGAUCUGAUAAAAAUUUAUUUACAAAAAAUAUAAUUCAUAGAAAAAGUUCAUGCAAGCAACUGAUGUUGGAUUACCGCUGAAGAGCGGAACUCGUCCCAUACAUAGACACGACACCUGCUUACGCCAAAAAAAUAAAAAAAAAGCGAUGAAAAUAAAUGACUUAACUGUUGAUUAUAUACAACAACUUGAAAUAAGAAAAUGAGAAAGAAAUAAAAAC
rnacentral:lncRNA from 1 species